GCGUUGUGUAGGGAUGCACAAUCAGGCCCGGUGUUAAGGUCUCGCCAUGGCCUCCAUGGACAAUGCACGGUUCCUUUUUUUCGAUACAAAGCCAUUCACGUUAGUGCAUAGAUGUACAUACAAAAUUGAUUGAUUACGAGAUGAUGAUGAGGAGCAAAUUCUUGAUUUAUUUCCCGAAUUGUAUUUGACCAUUCGGUGCCGCAUCUUGUAGCCGCCGAUCGGUAGCAGCGCCAUGACCGCACAGGGAGGGUGAAGCCGUGCUGGGUCGGGAGCCGUCACGCGCGCUCCGGACAGGUG
rnacentral:lncRNA from 1 species